rnacentral:rRNA from 1 species
ACAUGCAAGUGGUAGGAAGCCGAAAGGUGACCGACCCUUCGGGAGGCUUGCACAGGUGCUGCAUGGCUGUCGUCAGCUCGUGUCGUGAGAUGUUCGGUUAAGUCCGCUAACGAGCGCAACCCUCGCUGUGUGUUAUAUGUGUCACACGGGACUGCCGGUCUUAAGCCGGAGGAAGGUGGGGAUGAUGUCAAGUCAGCAUGGCCUUUAUAUCCUGGGCUACACACACGCUACAAUGGCCAACACAAUAGGUUGCUAAGCCGCGAGGUGGCGCCAAUCCAUAAAGUUGGUCUCAGUUCAGAUUGUAGGCUGCAACCCGCCUGCAUGAAGAUGGAGUUGCUAGUAACCGCAGGUCAGCUAUACUGCGGUGAAUACGUUCCCGGGUCUU